rnacentral:rRNA from 1 species
CCCCCUACGGGGCGCAGCAGUGGGGAAUAUUGCGCAAUGGGCGAAAGCCUGACGCAGCGACGCCGCGUGAGGGAUGAAGGUCUUCGGAUCGUAAACCUCUGUCAGCAGGGAAGAACGGUCACUGUGCUAAUCAGCAGUGAAUUGACGGUACCUGCAAAGGAAGCACCGGCUAACUACGUGCCAGCAGCCGCGGUAAUACGUAGGUGGCAAGCGUUGUCCGGAUUUACUGGGUGUAAAGGGCGUGCAGCCGGGCUGACAAGUCAGAUGUGAAAUCCCGCGGCUCAACCGCGGAACUGCAUUUGAAA